UACAGAGGGGGCAAGCGUUGUUCGGAAUUACUGGGCGUAAAGGGCGCGUAGGCGGCCUGUUAAGUCGAACGUGAAAUCCCCGGGCUCAACCCGGGAACUGCGUCCGAUACUGGCAGGCUUGAAUCCGGGAGAGGGAUGCGGAAUUCCAGGUGUAGCGGUGAAAUGCGUAGAUAUCAGGAGGAACACCGGUGGCGAAGGCGGGUCUCUGGGCAGUAACUGACGCUGAGGAGCGAAAGCGUGGGGAGCGAACAGG
rnacentral:rRNA from 1 species